UCUAAGUAUAAGCAAUUAUACAGCGAAACUGCGAAUGGCUCAUUAAAUCAGUUAUCGUUUAUUUGAUAGUACCUUACUACAUGGAUAACCGUGGUAAUUCUAGAGCUAAUACAUGCUGAAAACCCCGACUUCGGAAGGGGUGUAUUUAUUAGAUUAAAAACCAAUGCCCUCCGGGGCUUACUGGUGAUUCAUGAUAACUUCUCGAAUCGCACGGCCUUGCGCCGGCGAUGGUUCAUUCAAAUUUCUGCCCUAUCAACUUUCGACGGCUGGGUCUUGGCCAGCCGUGGUGACAACGGGUAACGGAGGGUUAGGGCUCGACCCCGGAGAAAACGCCUGAGAAACGGCGUUUACAUCCAAGGAAGGCAGCAGGCGCGCAAAUUACCCAAUGCCGACACGGCGAGGUAGUGACGAGAAAUACUGAUACAGGGCUCUUUUGGGUCUUGUAAUUGGAAUGAGUACAAUUUAAAUCCCUUAACGAGGAACAAUUGGAGGGCAAGUCUGGUGCCAGCAGCCGCGGUAAUUCCAGCUCCAAUAGCGUAUAUUAAAGUUGUUGCAGUUAAAAAGCUCGUAGUUGAACCUUGGGCCUGGCUGGCCGGUCCGCCUCACCGCGUGCACUGGUCCGGCCGGGCCUUUCCCUCUGGGGAACCCCAUGCCCUUCACUGGGCGUGGCGGGGAACCAGGACUUUUACUUUGAAAAAAUUAGAGUGUUCAAAGCAGGCCUAUGCUCGAAUACAUUAGCAUGGAAUAAUAGAAUAGGACGUGCGGUUCUAUUUUGUUGGUUUCUAGGACCGCCGUAAUGAUUAAUAGGGACAGUCGGGGGCGUCAGUAUUCAAUUGUCAGAGGUGAAAUUCUUGGAUUUAUUGAAGACUAACUACUGCGAAAGCAUUCGCCAAGGAUGUUUUCAUUAAUCAGGAACG
rnacentral:rRNA from 1 species